rnacentral:siRNA from 1 species
UCCAGAUUCAAGUAGAUUAGU